AGCUUGCGUUGAUUACGUCCCUGCCCUUUGUACACACCGCCCGUCGCUACUACCGAUUGAAUGGCUCAGUGAGGCUUUCGGACUGGCCCAGAGAGGCGGGCAACCGCCACUCAGGGCCGGAAAGUUAUCCAAACUCGGUCAUUUAGAGGAAGUAAAAGUCGUAACAAGGUCUCCGUUGGUGAACCAGCGGAGGGAUCAUUACUGAGUUACCGCUCUAUAACCCUUUGUGAACAUACCUAACCGUUGCUUCGGCGGGCAGGGGAAGCCUCUCGCGGGCCUCCCCUCCCGGCGCCGGCCCCCACCACGGGGACGGGGCGCCCGCCGGAGGAAACCAAACUCUAUUUACACGACGUCUCUUCUGAGUGGCACAAGCAAAUAAUUAAAACUUUUAACAACGGAUCUCUUGGUUCUGGCAUCGAUGAAGAACGCAGCGAAAUGCGAUAAGUAAUGUGAAUUGCAGAAUUCAGUGAAUCAUCGAAUCUUUGAACGCACAUUGCGCUCGCCAGCAUUCUGGCGAGCAUGCCUGUUCGAGCGUCAUUUCAACCCUCAAGCACCGCUUGGUUUUGGGGCCCCACGGCACACGUGGGCCCUUAAAGGUAGUGGCGGACCCUCCCGGAGCCUCCUUUGCGUAGUAACUAACGUCUCGCACUGGGAUUCGGAGGGACUCUUGCCGUAAAACCCCCAAAUUUUUUACAGGUUGACCUCGGAUCAGGUAGGAAUACCCGCUGAACUUAAGCAUAUCAAUAA
rnacentral:rRNA from 1 species